CAUAUGUGCCUGGAGUUCUAAAGGGUGCUCUUCAGGUUGCUUGGGAAUGCAGCCCAAAGCUGCUGGUAAACUCCAUCUAAGGCUAAAUACUGGCACGAGACCGAUAGUCAACAAGUACCGUAAGGGAAAGUUGAAAAGAACUUU